UACGUAGGGGGCAAGCGUUGUCCGGAAUCAUUGGGCGUAAAGCGCGUGUAGGCGGCCAGAAAAGUCCGCUGUGAAAACUCGAGGCUCAACUUCGAGACGCCGAUGGAAACCCCCUGGCUAGAGUCCGGAAGAGGAGAGUGGAAUUCCUGGUGUAGCGGUGAAAUGCGCAGAUAUCAGGAAGAACACCCGUGGCUAAGGCGGCUCUCUAGUACGGUACUGACGCUGAGACGCGAAAGCGUGGGGAGCGAACAGG
rnacentral:rRNA from 1 species